rnacentral:lncRNA from 10 species
CAGUCUUUAAGAGAGCAGCAGCUCAUCUGUGGCCACUGCUUCCCAGGGACUUGCCAGAAGGGAGGUGCAGGGCACAGGGAAAUAACCCACCUCUAUCUGACGGCUUCAAUGGUAUCGAAUGUCCUCAGUGGCAGCACGCAGCACAGAAGCUGAGGUGUGGCUGCAUUCCAUUUGGAGAAUUCCACUGUGAUUCAUGGUGUCAGCUGCGGGUUCAAGGUGUCACAAUUUAAUUAUUAAACAUCAUGAGGCAUUAGGAGGCUUGGGCACGCACUGAUAAGUGAUCCAUUUCUAACACAGCUGGUUUAUUACUGUUUGUGGCAGCUCCUGCACGAAUUGGUGUCCGUUAACUAAGCAAUGGUAUUAUAAUUACACAUUUAAAUUAUGUAUGGGAAGGGUGUCAGUGGUAGAAGUCAGACUGCAGUGAUUACUUUCAGUCUUCAGACCUCCUGGAUGUAGUCUCUCUGCAGAUAGCUGUAACUCUGGCUUGUUUUCUGCUCAUUUUCUGCAGACAUGUAGAAUCCACUGCUAGGGUCCACUGAGCUGUCUUCUGGGUGGUUUUUGGUGCUGCAGGAGAUAAACACAUGUGUCUUCCUGGUUGGACCCAGUUGAUGCACUAACCUAAUUCUGUCCUUUGCCUGCCCUGAUCUCCAUAGCCUGCUUCUUCCUGGAAAUUUGCUGCUGCUGCUGCUUCUUUUUUUUUUUUU